GACACGACUGGCGAAGGUGGGCCACCACCGGGGAGUGAAGAGUCGCGCAUCGCCCGCCUGGGUGCGCUCG
rnacentral:ncRNA from 2 species